rnacentral:rRNA from 1 species
AGAGUUUGAUCCUGGCUCAGGACGAACGCUGGCGGCGUGGAUAAGGCAUGCAAGUCGAACGCGAACAGAACAACUAAUUCGUUAGGAGUUCUUAGUAGAGUGGCGAACGGGUGAGUAACGCGUGAACAACAUACCUCUUAGUGGGGAAUAACACAGGGAAACCUGUGCUAAUACCGCAUAUGUGCAAAUGGCCAUGUCAUUUACAUAAAAGGUGGGGACCUUCGGGCCUGCCGCUGAGAGAUUGGUUCGCGUCCCAUUAGCUUGUUGGUGAGGUAACGGCUCACCAAGGCGACGAUGGGUAGCCGGCCUGAGAGGGCGACCGGCCACACUGGGAUUGAGAUACGGCCCAGACUCCUUCGGGAGGCAGCAGUCGAGAAUCUUCCACAAUGGACGAAAGUCUGAUGGAGCGACGCCGCGUGAGGGAUUAAGGCUUUCUGAGUCGUAAACCUCUGUCAGGAGAGAAGAAUAGUCUUUGUAUGAAUAGUACAUGGGCCUGACGUUAUCUCCAGAGGAAGCUCCGGCUAACUCCGUGCCAGCAGCCGCGGUAAUACGGGGGGAGCAAGCGUUGUCCGGAAUCAUUGGGCGUAAAGGGCGUGUAAGGUGGUUUUGUAAGUCGAAUGUGAAAUCUUACGGCUCACC